rnacentral:snRNA from 1 species
AUGACUUCUUGGGCUUUUGGCUAAGAUCAAGUGUAG